UUUUGGCUGAACGGCUCAUGUAGAAAGGAGAGAGAUCACAUGAUUGGCUGACAGGUUUGUCUCUCAUCUGAACACUGGCCAAUCACAUCCUACUAUGGC